rnacentral:pre_miRNA from 1 species
AUUCAGGUCGGUCCUGCAGAGAGGAAGCCCUUCCAAUACCUGGAAGCAGAAGGGCUUCCUCUCUGCAGGACCGGCCUGAAU